rnacentral:rRNA from 1 species
UGAAUACCAGACGCUACGGCGUUGAAGCAGUCGAUGUCAUACUUCCAAGAAAAGCUUGCACUGUCAUAAACAAAUAAUGCCUGUACCAUAACCGACACAGGUGGGUAGGUAGAGUAUACUAAGGGGCGCGAGAUAACUCUCUCUAAGGAACUCGGCAAAAUGACUCCGUAACUUCGGGAGAAGGAGUGCCUUCAGAAAUGGAGGUUGCAAUAACAAGAUCCAAGCAACUGUUUAUCAAAAACACAGGUCUCCGCUAAGUCGUAAGACGAUGUAUGGGGGCUGACGCCUGCCCAGUGCCAGAAGGUUAAAGAAGUCGGUUAGCAUUUGCGAAGCUGGUAACUGAAGCCCUGGUGAACGGCGGCCGUAACAAUAACGGUCCUAAGGUAGCGAAAUUCCUUGUCGGGUAAGUUCCGACCCGCACGAAAGGCGUGAUGAUUUGGAUUCUGUCUCGGAGAGGGACUCGGUGAAAUAGACUUGUCUGUGAAGAUGCGGACUACCUGCACCUGGACAGAAAGACCCUAUGAAGCUUUACUGUAACUUGAAAUUGAAAUUGGACUUUACUUGCGCAGUAUAGGUGGGAGGCAUAGAGAAUUUUCUUGCGGGAAAAUUGGAGCCAUCAGUGAGAUACCACUCUUGUAAUGUUAGAUUUCUAACUUUGAAUCAUUAUCUGGUCAAAGAACAGUUUCAGGCGGGCAGUUUGACUGGGGCGGUCGCCUCCUAAAGGGUAACGGAGGCGCACAAAGGUUUCCUCUGAACGGGUAGAAAUCGUAUCUAGAGUGUAAAGGCAUAAGGAAGCUUGACUGUGAGACCUACAAGUCGAGCAGGGACGAAAGUCGGUCUUAGUGAUCUGACGGUGCUGAGUGGAAAGGCCGUCACUCAACGGAUAAAAGUUACUCUAGGAUAACAGGCUGAUCUCCCCCAAGAGUUCACAUCGACGGGGAGGUUUGGCACCUCGAUGUCGGCUCAUCGCAUCCUGGGGCGGUAGUACGUCCCAAGGGUUGGGCUGUUCGCCCAUGAAAGCGGUACGCGAGCUGGGUUCAGAACGUCGUGAGACAGUUCGGUCCAUAUCCGGUGUAGGCGUUAGAAUAUUGAGAGGAGCCUUCUUUAGUACGAGAGGACCGAGAAGGACAUACCUCUGGUGUACCAGUUAUCGUGCCAACGGUAAACGCUGGGUAGCCAUGUAUGGAGAGGAUAACCGCUGAAAGCACCUAAGUGGGAAGCCCACCUCGAGAUAAGUA